GAGAGAUUAGCGGCUGAAGAUGGGAGCUGUAACAAGGACAUGGACGUUCAAUACUCUGAUCAAGCAGUAUUAGCAAAUUUGGAUUGGGGAAUUGAAGCCCUUGAAGAAGCUAUUGACACUGCCAAUAUGGAAACAAAGCUAGCACGAUUAGAUUAUGCAGAGAAGAUGCUGCAAGUCUGUGCCAUGUUGAACUCCAACGAGAGAACA
rnacentral:misc_RNA from 1 species